rnacentral:rRNA from 1 species
AUUGAACGCUGGCGGCGUGCUUAACACAUGCAAGUCGAACGAACCAUAUUCGUAUGGUUAGUGGCAGACGGGUGCGUAACACGUAGGUGACCUGCCUCGGAGUGGGGAACAACUCCGCGAAAGCGGAGCUAAUACCGCAUAUGCUCGGGUAUUCGGUUAUUCGAGUAAAGGCGAAAGCCGCUUUGAGAUGGGCCUGCGGCGGAUUAGCUAGUUGGUGGGGUAACGGCCUACCAAGGCGAUGAUCCGUAGGGGGCGUGAGAGCGUGGCCCCCCACACUUGGCACUGAGACACGGGCCAAACUCCUACGGGAGGCAG